AAUAGUCUCUGUUGACAUACAUAUCAUGUAUAUCAUUCAGAAACGCUUGAUUCUGUGCCAUUAGCCCUUAAAGUUAUUAAACGCACCCCGUAUACCUGGUUGCAUAAAAACACUAAAUGAAUAAAUAAAAAAUAAACAAGUAAGGAAAUGAAAUGUAAACAAUUUCAAUAUAAAUAUCACUGUCUACGUAGAUUGUAAAUUCAAAAUAUUAGUUGGUGUUGAAGUCAAAUUAUAAGAAUUCGUCGAUACUAUAAAAAACGUUUUCCAGGCAGAUAUUCUUCAUAUAAUUUGUAAACGAGGCUGUAUUCUGGUAUGGCUCUAUGGUAAUUUAUUAAAAAAAAUAGGACCAUAAUAAUUUUUCGAAAAACGGCAGUGAUUUGGUCUUGUGAAUUCAAUUUUAAUGUGUUGUGAUUAUCUGGUGUUAUGUGAAUGAAAAUCGUUUUGAUUUAGAUAUAAAUGAGGAUGGUUUUUUUUACAUAAUUUAGACACGAAUAGACGUAAAGAGAAGUCCAAACACUCUUUUUGCAUGAGGCGAGUGCCCCCAGAAUACUAGGCCAUGAGACAUAUGGGACAAAAAGUGAAUGAUAAGCAGUGAUAAUGGUUUCAAUAGAUGAAAUGCAGAUGCCCAUUAAACUUCUUAUAAUACAAAUGCUCGUUGUCAAUGUUUUGUAAAUAAAAUCGACAUGUUUUUCCCAAGAAAGCUUUGGAUCCAUUUGGAAUCCAAGAAAUUCAAUCGAUUCAUUUUGGUCUAUAGGCAGUUGUUUGUGUGUAAAAAAGUAAAGUUGCGUUUUAAGUAUUCAAUUUUAAUACCUAGCAUACUGGAUUCCCUUAUAUACAACUAAGGAACUAAGAAAGGACGGCCGACUGGAAAUCAUCACAUCUUAAUUACACUAACCAAUUCGUGAUCAGGCUAUAUAUAGAUGUUGGUCCAGAUCGUAAGCAUUCGUAUGAAAGCAUUCAUUCACAUUGGAUUUGUAUUGGUAUCCGCUCCAACAGAUAAAGUGCAUGAGGAAGUGUAAGUAAACAAAUAUAAAAUAGGCAGGUCAAACAUUUUUAUGUUGAACAAUUUUAUGGACGUAGUAUUUACAUACUUACUCAGGUUACACUACUUCCAACGAUUCAAUUAUGUUUUUAUCUGAUCAAUACUUUAGAUUGCUGAGGAGAGUGGUGUGUUGACUGCUACCUAGGACCUUCCGAAUAAUUUUUUAAGUUUUUGGUACACAAUCUACAACAUUAUCAUCUUUUUGUUUCAAUAAAACCGUUUAAAACA